CUUUUGCAGUGUGACAUCUGGUCGCUGGGGAUAACCGCCAUCGAAAUGGCUGAGGGAGAACCACCAUACACAGGGAAAUAUCCAGUUGAGGACCUGAUAAUUGAAGCCCAACCACCGAAGCUUCAAUCAAACACCUGGUCACAGCAUUUUGUGUCCUUCUUGGAGUCCUGUCUGAAAAAGGAUCCUUCGGAGAGAGGGAGUGCUCAAGAACUCCUGCAGC